AGGAGGACGCCGAAGGUGGGGCUGAUGACUCGGGGUGAAGUCGUAACAAGGUAGCCGUACCGGAAGGUGUGGCUGGAUCACCUCCUUAAAAGGAGACCUACCCUCUCACUUGACUUAAGUUAGACAAAAUGAGAAAGGUCAACUAGGUCGUUCCAAGCUUUCCAUAAAUUUCGAUGUGCUUCUAAACUAUCCCGGUUCAGGGAUGGGGGCUAUUAACUCGGGUGGUUAGAGCCCACCCCUGAUAAGGGUGAGGUCCCUGGUUCCAGUCCAGGAUGGCCCACUCCAUAAAAACAAGGGGGUUUAACUCGGUUGAUAGACCGCCUGCUUUGCAAGAAGGAUGUCAUCGGUUCCAGUCCGCUAACCUCCACCAACCGAUUGAUUGAAUCACUCUGUUGAAUUUUUUGUUGAAUUGAGCGAUUGAGGAUAUGCGACACCAACUCAUCUGCGGUAUGUAGAGAGCCUGCUGGAUUAUAUCCAGUACAAGAACCAAGAAAACUGCAUAGUAUUGAUGUCAGGUAGAGAUACACACACACCAAUGUGAAGGACUAAAACUGAUUGAAAUAAUUAUUGGUCAACCUACAGAGGACAGAUGGUGGAUACC
rnacentral:misc_RNA from 1 species